UACAAACGACUCUCGGCAACGGAUAUCUCGGCUCACGCAUCGAUGAAGAACGUAGCAAAAUGCGAUACUUGGUGUGAAUUGCAGAAUCCCGUGAACCAUCGAGUUUUUGAACGCAAGUUGCGCCCGAAGCCUUUUGGCUGAGGGCACGUCUGCCUGGGCGUCACGC
rnacentral:rRNA from 5 species